UACGUAGGGGGCAAGCGUUAUCCGGGUUUACUGGGUGUAAAGGGAGCGUAGGUGGUUCGGCAAGUCAGAUGUGAAAGCCCGGGGCUCAACCCCGGGACUGCAUUUGAAACUGUCGGACUAGAGUGCAGGAGAGGUAAGUGGAAUUCCUAGUGUAGCGGUGAAAUGCGUAGAUAUUAGGAGGAACACCAGUGGCGAAGGCGGCUUCCUGGACUGUAACUGACACUGAGGCUCGAAAGCUUGGGGAGCAUUCAGG
rnacentral:rRNA from 1 species